UACGUAGGGGGCAAGCGUUGUCCGGAAUCAUUGGGCGUAAAGAGCGUGUAGGCGGCCAGAUAAGUCCGCUGUGAAAUCUCGAGGCUCAACUUCGAGCUGUCGGUGGAAACUGUCUGGCUAGAGUCCGGAAGAGGAGAAUGGAAUUCCUGGUGUAGCGGUGAAAUGCGCAGAUAUCAGGAAGAACACCCGUGGCGAAGGCGGCUCUCUGGGACGGUACUGACGCUGAGGAACGAAAGCGUGGGUAGCAAACAGG
rnacentral:rRNA from 1 species